rnacentral:tRNA from 1 species
UUUUUUAUAGUUUAAAAAAAAACAUUACAUUUUCAAUGUAAAAUUAGAUAAAAUCUUAAAAAUA